rnacentral:rRNA from 1 species
CAGCAGCCGCGGUAAUACCGAGGGUGCGAGCGUUAAUCGGAUUUACUGGGCGUAAAGCGUGCGUAGGCGGCUUCUUAAGUCGGAUGUGAAAUCCCUGAGCUUAACUUAGGAAUUGCAUUCGAUACUGGGAAGCUAGAGUAUGGGAGAGGAUGGUAGAAUUCCAGGUGUAGCGGUGAAAUGCGUAGAGAUCUGGAGGAAUACCGAUGGCGAAGGCAGCCAUCUGGCCUAAUACUGACGCUGAGGUACGAAAGCAUGGGGAGCAAACAGGAUUAGAUACCCCCGUAGUCCCUGUCUCUUAUAC